rnacentral:rRNA from 1 species
GGAGUUUGGACCGUGUCUCAGUUCCAAUGUGGGGGACCUUCCUCUCAGAACCCCUACUGAUCGUUGGCCAGGUGGGCCGUUACCCCGCCUGCAACCUAAUCAGACGCAUCCCCAUCCCAUAGCGAUGAACCUUUGAUUCAAAUUAGAUGUCCGCUUUGAAUAACAUAGAGCAUUAAUCCGACUUUCGCCGGGCUAUUCUCUACUAUAGGGAAGGUUGGAUACGCGUUACUCACCCGUGCGCCGGUCGCCAUCAAAGUUUGCAAGCAAACUUCAUGAUGCCCCUCGACUUGCAUGUGUUAAGCCUGUAGCUAGCGUUCAUC